AUUGAACGCUGGCGGCAGGCUUAACACAUGCAAGUCGAGCGCGCGGCGGACGGGUGAGUAAUGUCUGGGAAACUGCCUGAUGGAGGGGGAUAACUACUGGAAACGGUAGCUAAUACCACAUACCAUCAGAUGUGCACAGAUGGGAUGGGCUAGUAGGUUGGGUAAUGGCUCACCUAGGCGACGAUCCCUAGCUGGUCUGAGAGGAUGACCAGCCACACUGGAAUUGAGCCACGGACCAGACCACUACGGGAGGCAGCAGUGGGGAAUAUGGUACAAUGGGAGCGAGCCUGAUGCAGCCAUGCCGCGUGGGUGAAGAAGGCCUUCGGGUUGGAAAGCAAUUUCAGCGAGGAGGCGUUACUCGCAGAAGAAGCACCGGCUAACUCCGUGCCAGCAGCCGCGGUAAUUC
rnacentral:rRNA from 1 species